rnacentral:rRNA from 1 species
UACUAGAGUAGCACUCGCAUAUCAAUAAGCGGAGGAAAAGAAACUAACAAGGAUACCCCUAGUAACGGCGAGUGAAGCGGGAAGAGCUCAAAUUUGAAAUCUUAAAGGGUUUCCCUUUACGAAUUGUAGUUUAAAGAAGUGUUUUCUGUUGAGGUUUUGGUAAAAGUUCUUUGGAAUAGGACAUCAUAGAGGGUGAGAAUCCCGUAUUUGACCUUUACUUUCAACUUUGUGAUACACUUUCAAAGAGUCGGAUUGUUUGGGAAUGCAGUCCAAAAUGGGUGGUAAAUUUCAUCUAAAGCUAAAUAUUGGCGAGAGACCGAUAGCGAACAAGUACCGUGAGGGAAAGAUGAAAAGAACUUUGAAAAGAGAGUUAAACAGUACGUGAAAUUGUCAAAAGGGAAGCGUUUGACACCAGUGUUGUUUUUCUGAAAAUCAAUUAAAGAACUGUUUAUGCUAAGUUGUUUAGACUUUAUCAGCUAUCUGCUUAGUUUUGAGCUUUUCUUUAAUGCACUUUUCAGUUAACAAGUCAACAUCAAUUUCUUUUGCUGUAAAAAAGCUUGAGGAAGGUGGCUUGAGAUUCGUCUUAAGUGUUUAUAGCCUCUUGCCUAUGCAGUCGGAGAGAUUGAGGUCUGCAGCGUAGAUCCUUCGGGGCUAAAUGCAUUUGUGCUAAGUUAUAGCAUUUUAUAGACAACUUGUUGACUAUGAUUUGUCUUGUAGCUUACUCGCUUAUGUUAUUUUACCUACGCUUAGGAUGUUGAACUACUGAGACAUAGA